AAAUCCGUGAAUAAAUGUGGCAAAAAAAACUAAAAUACCGAAUAUCCGGAGGUACCGUUAUAUGGGGACUACACCAGAACGUGGACCGAUAUAUCUCAUUUUCAAUACCAACCAUCCUAGACAAAAUGCAAAUACCUCUGCUAAAUUUUGGCGCUCUACGUCUACGGAAUUCACUUAAAUCUUAAAGCUAGUGUUCGCAAAUUAUCGAUGGUUUCAGACUUUUUUCUUUCAUAAAUACUUUUUUGUGAUAUGAACAUACUUCGCAAAAAUUAAAUUUGACAAAAAAAUUUAAGUACAUAAAAUUUCAAAUCGUGCUAAAUGGAAUAAAAUCGUAUUUUAUCGGCAAAUGUCUGAUUUGUGUUUGUCUUUCUAUAAGCACAUAUAAGCACAUAAAACGCGAAAUAAAUAUCCAAUUCCAUUCCUUUGUACAUCUUAAUAUUUCUAUCAGCAGAAGAGUUGUUAUAAAGAUGGAAGAGAUCGGAACAUUCCUUCUGGUAACUCCCCAAACAUAAGGAUCAAGAUUUUAAAAAAUAAAACGCUAAAAGAAAUCGAAAUAAGCAUCCAGCUCUCUUUAAAUUUUACACAUGCGAACAUUUUUGCUAAAUUUUACGCAUACGAACAUUUGUCUUUCUAUUAAUUUCUUGGCAAGUCUCUCUUCUGCGAUUUUUACUAUUAAAAAGUACUGGAACAAGGCUUGUGUUGGUGAAACAUGGGACUCUCAUUCUCUAACGAAUGACGUAAGCAAUAUUUAAGGUGAUGUUUUCACAAAGUCUUAUUAAAUUAAAAAAAAAAAUUAUUAAUAAGUGGCCCACCAAAAAUUUAAACGAAGUUAGGAUAAUGAAAUUUAUUAAAAUUGGUAUAGACAACAUUUUAUGCGCAGUACCUUUUCAAUAUGGUAAGGGAGUUCCUGAGUUUACUUUGUAUAACUUUCAAAUAAGAAAAUGUAGAUUCGCAUA